rnacentral:rRNA from 1 species
GGGUCAGUAGGUUGGUCGUGCCACCGGUACGUACUGGUCUCACUGAUUCCUCCUUCCUGAAGAACCGUAAUGCCAUUAAUUUGGUGUUGCGGGGAAACAGGACUGUUACUUUGAAAAAAUUAGAGUGUUUAAAGCCAGCUAACGCUUGAAUACAUUAGCAUGGAAUAAUGAAAUAGGACGAUCGAUCCUAUUUUGUUGGUUUCUAGGAUUGACGUA